AUUGAACGCUGGCGGCAUGCCUUACACAUGCAAGUCGAACGGCAGCACGGGAGCAAUCCUGGUGGCGAGUGGCGAACGGGUGAGUAAUAUAUCGGAACGUGCCCGGUCGUGGGGAUAACGUAGCGAAAGCUACGCUAAUACCGCAUACGAUCUACGGAUGAAAGCGGGGGAUCGCAAGACCUCGCGCGAUUGGAGCGGCCGAUAUCAGAUUAGGUAGUUGGUGAGGUAAAGGCUCACCAAGCCGACGAUCUGUAGCUGGUCUGAGAGGACGACCAGCCACACUGGGACUGAGACACGGCCCAGACUCCUACGGGAGGCAGCAGUGGGGAAUUUUGGACAAUGGGCGCAAGCCUGAUCCAGCAAUGCCGCGUGCAGGAUGAAGGCCUUCGGGUUGUAAC
rnacentral:rRNA from 1 species